UCAGCAUCCCUCCCAUCUCAUUCCACUGCGCUGCUGUUGACAGUUGAUGCCGCUGGCCUGCUACCGAAUACUGUUACUCUCCACUUCAAGUUCUAUUACAGAAAUUAGGAUGUCUGAGGAAUCAUCAGAGUGGUCAAGCACUCUCAGAAACCAAUGGAAAAACACAAGUAAUCUUCAGUCUUAAAGCUUCAACUCUAGCAAAAGCAAAAUCCUGCAAUCUGUAAGGCAAACCACUUGAGCGCAACACACUGGGCUCGAGCGCAAGACCGUGCCGCUCGGGUGCACAUCAGGAGGCUUGAGCGCAUCAGGCAUCCAUAAGGCUCGAGCGCACAUUAGGAGCUCGAGCAAAGCAAGAAGACUUGCGCACGCAAGACACUAGCACAUUGGGCUCCAACGCACAUCAGGAAGGCUCAAGCGCAAAUUGAGCUCGAGCACAUAAAUACUUGGGCCCGAGCACAGUCGAAAACUGCAGAGUUGACUACAAGAUAUCAAAUUCACUUAGGAGUUUUUAUAUGAUUUCUAUUUGGAUUAGAUGUUUUGAUAUGUACAAAUCCACGAGUAUUUCACUUGUCUUCUAUAUAAAUAUCCUAGACUU